GGCUGUUCUUGGUGUCUGACCCUCCUGCUGCUGUCCAGGUUCCCAGUGACCCUGUGGGGAAUCAUCAGAUCCUGGUAAAAAUGGCGGCAAGACUCUCAAAUUAACACCAGGCAUGAUGCUUCAGGUCUCUGUCACAGUCACCCAACUCUUCUAAAGCCAUGAAGCAGCCACAGACAAUAUAGAAACCAUGCGGCGGUGAGGCUGAGAGCCACAGUGGCCUCCAGGUGCUGGCCACGCCACAGCGGCACAAGCCCAACAGCUGGAUGAUGGUGGUUCUUGAGGAUGGCCACUCAGAUUCAUGACCAAAUUCAUAUGUUCCAAAAUGACCAAAAGCAGUAGACUAUUUCAUCAUGAUCUGCCUCUGCUCACAGUAAAAUACCCGAGGACAAGCUGGGAGGUGCUGUGUUAGAACAAACGUGAGCCUGCAUUUGCAAAGCCUUGAUCUGCAUCAGCAAUUCAGAGACGUGGCAACUGCGCCCUUGCCCAAUGAGGAGGUGGUUCAAGGACAGAGCCGCUGAUGCCUCUGAGAGUGGGACUUGGCUCCUCUCUCCGCGCCUGGCGGAGGGUCCUCCAAAAGCAUUACCGUCAUUCUCUUUGUCUCCCCUCUUUCCCAUCAUUGACAGCUGGUCUCACCUCUGUCCCUUUGUGGCACCAAGCAAAAUUUUUU